rnacentral:rRNA from 1 species
AUUGAACGCUGGCGGCAUGCCUUACACAUGCAAGUCGAACGGCAGCGGGCCCUUCGGGGUGCCGGCGAGUGGCGAACGGGUGAGUAAUGCAUCGGAACGUACCCGGGAGAGGGGGAUAACCGGCCGAAAGGCUGGCUAAUACCGCAUGAACUCGGAAGAGCAAAGCGGGGGACCUUCGGGCCUCGCGCUCUCGGAGCGGCCGAUGUCCGAUUAGGCUAGUUGGUGGGGUAAAGGCCCACCAAGGCGACGAUCGGUAACGGGUCUGAGAGGACGAUCCGCCACACUGGGACUGAGACACGGCCCAGACUCCUACGGGAGGCAGCAGUGGGGAAUCUUGGACAAUGGGCGCAAGCCUGAUCCAGCAAUGCCGCGUGGGUGAAGAAGGCCUUCGGGUUGUAAAGCCCUUUCGGCGGGGAAGAAAUCGGUCAGGCGAAUAGUCUGGCCGGAUGACGGUACCCGCAGAAGAAGCACCGGCUAACUACGUG